GACGAACGCUGGCGGCGUGCCUAAUACAUGCAAGUCGAGCGCAGUGGGGACGGGUGAGUAACCCGUGGGUAACCUCCCCCUCAGAGGUGAUAACACUUGGAAACAGGUGCUAAACCGAUACUGCUGGAUGGACCAGCGGUGCAUUAGCUAGUUGGUGAGGUAACGGCUCACCAAGGCCACGAUGCAUAGCCGACCUGAGAGGGUGAUCGGCCACACUGGGACUGAGACACGGUCCAGACUCCUACGGGAGGCAGCAGUAGGGAAUCUUCGGCAAUGGACGAAAGCCUGACCGAGCAACGCCGCGUGAGUGAAGAAGGUUUUCGGAUCGUAAAACUCUGUUGUUAGAGAAGCGGUAUCUAACCAGAAAGCCACGGCUAACUACGUGCCAGCAGCCGCGGUAAUUC
rnacentral:rRNA from 1 species